CGCGUAGGUGGCCUGAUAAGGGUGUGGUGAAAGUCCGGGGCUCAACCCCGGAUCGGCCGUGCCGACUGUUAGGCUAGAGUACUGUAGGGGCAGGCGGAAUUCCGGGUGUAGCGGUGGAAUGCGUAGAGAUCCGGAGGAAGACCGGUGGCGAAGGCGGCCUGCUGGGCAGUUACUGACACUGAGGCGCGAAAGCUAGGGGAAGCAAACA
rnacentral:rRNA from 1 species